rnacentral:rRNA from 1 species
GAGUUUGAUCCUGGCUCAGAACGAACGCUGGCGGCGUGCCUAACACAUGCAAGUCGAACGUGAUCCAGAGCUUGCUCUGGUGAAAGUGGCGCACGGGUGAGUAACGCGUGGAUAACCUACCCUGGUAUCCGGGAUAACAUUCCGAAAGGGGUGCUAAUACCGGAUAAGCCCACGGGCUCUUUGGAGCUUGCGGGAAAAGGUGGCCUCUAUUUAUAAGCUACUGUAUCAGGAUGGGUCCGCGUACCAUUAGCUAGUUGGCGGUGUAACGGACCACCAAGGCGACGAUGGUUAGCUGGUCUGAGAGGAUGAUCAGCCACACUGGAACUGAGACACGGUCCAGACUCCUACGGGAGGCAGCAGUGGGGAAUUUUGCGCAAUGGGGGAAACCCUGASGCAGCAACGCCGCGUGAGUGAUGAAGGCCUUUGGGUCGUAAAGCUCUGUCAGAGGGGAAGAAAUGAUAUAGUGCUAAUACCACUUUAUCUUGACGGUACCCUCAAAGGAAGCACCGGCUAACUCCGUGCCAGCAGCCGCGGUAAUAC